UACAGAGGGUGCAAACGUUGCUCGGAUUUAUUGGGCGUAAAGCGCGUGUAGGCGGUUUAUUAAGUCGACUGUGAAAGCCCAGGGCUCAACCCUGGAAGUGCAGCCGAUACUGAUAGACUAGAGUUCUAGAGAGGGUAGUGGAAUUCCCAGUGUAGAGGUGAAAUUCGUAGAUAUUGGGAGGAAUACCGGUGGCGAAGGCGGCUACCUGGCUGGAUACUGACGCUGAGACGCGAAAGCGUGGGGAGCAAACAGG
rnacentral:rRNA from 1 species